GAUCAUGGCUCAGGAUGAACGCUGGCGGCGUGCCUAAUACAUGCAAGUCGAGCGAACAGACGAGGAGCUUGCUCCUCUGACGUUAGCGGCGGACGGGUGAGUAACACGUGGAUAACCUACCUAUAAGACUGGGAUAACUUCGGGAAACCGGAGCUAAUACUGGAUAACAUGUUGAACCGCAUGGUUCAACAGUGAAAGACGGUCUUGCUGUCACUUAUAGAUGGAUCCGCGCCG
rnacentral:rRNA from 1 species